GAGUAUGAAAAGAGAGGAAGACAGCUGCUGGACAUGGAAACUUUUAAAUGCAUAAUGCAGCAGAGUAUGAGGUCACAAAAUAAAAAUACUGAACAAAUAGAACAACUUUUCAUGAAAAUAGACUAUGAAUCAAUGGGCAGAAUUCAAUGGGACGGCUUCUGCACGUAUUUGCAGCUAGAGUAUUCAGAGCAAGUGGAUGCUUUGGCCCAAGAGAAAGAGGUUUCCUUCCAGCUGCCUGCUGCGCUGCAAGGGCUGUCAUAUGGGGGUCCCGUGCUGCGCAUUCUCUCUAUGCCUGACGACACCGUAAUCAUGAUCAGAGAAGAUGGAGCGAUUUAUUUCUGGUCCCUGCAGCUGAAGUUGAAAAGAAGAAAGAGAGUUUUUGACAAGUCCAUGAGUUGGAAGCCCAGGUCGAUGACAGAUGUCAUCGGCAUGCCACAGUACAACAAACUGAUCAUAGGGACUAGAAACCGUGAAAUCCAGCUAUGUGAAUUCUCCAACUGGGAGCCUUACUGUCAGAUCAGUGGCUUAGAAGGUGUUCCUCUGAAACUGGACUACUGGUAA
rnacentral:lncRNA from 1 species